GAUGAACGCUGGCGGUCUGCUUAACACAUGCAAGUCGAACGGAAUCCUUAGGGAUUUAGUGGCGGACGGGUGAGUAACACGUAAGAACCUGCCUCUAGGACGGGGACAACAGUUGGAAACGACUGCUAAACCCGGAUGAGCCGAAAGGUAAAAGAUUUAUCGCCUAGAGAGGGGCUUGCGUCUGAUUAGCUAGUUGGUAAGGUAAAGGCUUACCAAGGCGACGAUCAGUAGCUGGUCUGAGAGGAUGAUCAGCCGCACUGGGACUGAGACACGGCCCAGACUCCUACGGGAGGCAGCAGUGGGGAAUUUUCCGCAAUGGGCGAAAGCCUGACGGAGCAAGACCGCGUGGGGGAGGAAGGUUCUUGGAUUGUCAACCCCUUCUCUCAGGGAAGAACGCAAUGACGGUACCUGAGGAAAAAGCAUCGGCUAACUCCGUGCCAGCCGCCGCAGUAAAAC
rnacentral:rRNA from 1 species